rnacentral:siRNA from 1 species
UACUACUCUCUUACGACUGACAA